rnacentral:rRNA from 1 species
AGCGAACGCUGGCGGCAGGCCUAACACAUGCAAGUCGAACGAACCUUUCGGGGUUAGUGGCGGACGGGUGAGUAACACGUGGGAACGUGCCUUUAGGUUCGGAAUAACUCAGGGAAACUUGUGCUAAUACCGAAUGUGCCCUUCGGGGGAAAGAUUUAUCGCCUUUAGAGCGGCCCGCGUCUGAUUAGCUAGUUGGUUGAGGUAAUGGCUCACCAAGGCGACGAUCAGUAGCUGGUCUGAGAGGAUGAUCAGCCACAUUGGGACUGAGACACGGCCCAAACUCCUACGGGAGGCAGCAGUGGGGAAUCUUGCGCAAUGGGCGAAAGCCUGACGCAGCCAUGCCGCGUGAAUGAUGAAGGUCUUAGGAUUGUAAAAUUCUUUCACCGGGGACGAUAAUCACGGUACCCGGAGAAGAAGCCCCGGCUAACUUCGUG